UACGAAGGGGGCUAGCGUUGUUCGGAAAUACUGGGCGUAAAGCGCACGUAGGCGGCGCAGCAAGUCAGGGGUGAAAUCCCGGGGCUCAACCCCGGAACUGCCCUUGAAACUGCAGUGCUAGAAUUCUGGAGAGGCGAGUGGAAUUCCGAGUGUAGAGGUGAAAUUCGUAGAUAUUCGGAAGAACACCAGUGGCGAAGGCGACUCGCUGGACAGACAUUGACGCUGAGGUGCGAAAGCGUGGGGAGCAAACAGG
rnacentral:rRNA from 1 species